rnacentral:rRNA from 1 species
UACAGAGGGUGCGAGCGUUAAUCGGAAUUACUGGGCGUAAAGCGUGCGUAGACGGUUAUUUAAGUCGGGUGUGAAAGCCCUGGGCUCAACCUGGGAAUUGCAUUCGAGACUGAAUAGCUAGGGUACGGUAGAGGGGGUGGAAUUCCCGGUGUAGUGGUGAAAUGCGUAGAGAUCGGGAGGAACCCAGUGGCGAAGGCGGCCCCUGGGCCGGGUCUGACGCUGAGACGCGAAGGCGUGGGGAGCGAACGGG